rnacentral:rRNA from 1 species
GCCCAGUCGUGGGGGAUAACGUAGCGAAAGUUACGCUAAUACCGCAUACGAUCUAAGGAUGAAAGCGGGGGAUCGCAAGACCUCGCGCGAUUGGAGCGGCCGAUAUCAGAUUAGGUAGUUGGUGGGGUAAAGGCUCACCAAGCCAACGAUCUGUAGCUGGUCUGAGAGGACGACCAGCCACACUGGAACUGAGACACGGUCCAGACUCCUACGGGAGGCAGCAGUGGGGAAUUUUGGACAAUGGACGCAAGUCUGAUCCAGCCAUUCCGCGUGCAGGAUGAAGGCCCUCGGGUUGUAAACUGCUUUUGUACGGAACGAAAAGGUUUCUCUUAAUACGAGGAGCUCAUGACGGUACCGUAAGAAUAAGCACCGGCUAACUACGUGCCAGCAGCCGCGGUAAUACGUAGGGUGCAAGCGUUAAUCGGAAUUACUGGGCGUAAAGCGUGCGCAGGCGGUUAUGUAAGACAGAUGUGAAAUCCCCGGGCUCAACCUGGGAACUGCAUUUGUGACUGCAUAGCUAGAGUACGGUAGAGGGGGAUGGAAUUCCGCGUGUAGCAGUGAAAUGCGUAGAUAUGCGGAGGAACACCGAUGGCGAAGGCAAUCCCCUGGACCUGUACUGACGCUCAUGCACGAAAGCGUGGGGAGCAAACAGGAUUAGAUACCCUGGUAGUCCACGCCCU